GAAUUUUGGACAAUGGGCGAAAGCCUGAUCCAGCAAUGCCGCGUGCAGGAUGAAGGCCUUCGGGUUGUAAACUGCUUUUGUACGGAACGAAAAGCUGUGGGUUAAUACCCUGGCGUCAUGACGGUACCGGAAGAAUAAGCAACGGCUAACCAGGUUGCCGACGCCGCGGGAAUACGUAGGGUGCAAGCGUUAAUCGGCAGUACUGGGCGUAAAGCGUGCGCAGGCGGUUUUGUAAGACAGAGGUGAAAUCCCCGGGCUCAACCUGGGAACUGCCUUUGUGACUGCAAGGCUAGAGUACGGCAGAGGGGGGUGGAAUUCCGCGUGUAGCAGUGAAAUGCGUAGAUAUGCGGAGGAACACCGAUGGCGAAGGCAACCCCCUGGGCCUGUACUGACGCUCAUGCACGAAAGCGUGGGGAGCAAAC
rnacentral:rRNA from 1 species